UACGAAGGGGGCUAGCGUUGCUCGGAAUCACUGGGCGUAAAGCGCACGUAGGCGGCUUUCUAAGUCAGGGGUGAAAUCCUGGAGCUCAACUCCAGAACUGCCUUUGAUACUGGAGAGCUUGAGUCCGGAAGAGGUGAGUGGAACUCCGAGUGUAGAGGUGAAAUUCGUAGAUAUUCGGAAGAACACCAGUGGCGAAGGCGGCUCACUGGCCCGGUACUGACGCUGAGGUGCGAAAGCGUGGGGAGCGAACAGG
rnacentral:rRNA from 1 species